rnacentral:ncRNA from 1 species
AAAAAGUUUUAUUUAAGCUUAAAAAAUAGUUUUAAUUUUAAUUUAAAUAUAAAUUUUUGUGAAAAUUUUUAUUAUUUUAGAUAAUUAAUAAUUUUUUUUUAGUAAUAAAUAAUUUUAAAUAUUUAAGAAAUUAAGAUUUAGUAAUAAUAUAAAAUAUUAACAAAAUUUGUGCCAGCAGUUGCGGUUAUACAUAUAAUAUAAAUUAUUUUUUUUAGAUAUAAUUAUUUUUAAAAUUUUUAAAAAAUUUAAAUUUAUUAUAAUUAGGUGAAAUUUAUUAUAUUAAUAAAAUUUAUUAUUUAUUUUAAGAAAUUAGAAAAUUUUAUAAUUAAACUAGGAUUAGAUACCCUAUUAUAAUAAAAUGUAAAUUUUUAUUCUAAAUUAGUAAAAGUUAUGUUCUUAAAAGUUAAAGAUUUUGGCGGUAUUUUAAUCUAUUUAGAGGAACCUGUUUUAUAAUUGAUAUUCCACGAUUUAAAGUACUUAAAUUAAUUAGUUUGUAUAUCAUCGUAAAAAAUAUUUUUAUAAAAUUUUAAUAUUUAAGAUUUUUUAUUAAAAAAAUAAAUCAGAUCAAGAUGCAAUUUAUAUUUAAGUAAAAAUGGGUUACAAUAAUAAAUAAUUUUGGAAAUUUAUAUUAAAAAAGAAUUUAAAUUGGAUUUAAAAGUAAUUUUUAUUAAUUAAUAAAAAUGAUUUUGGCACUAAAAUAUGCACAUAUCGCCCGUCGCUUUCAUUUAAAAUGAAAUAAGUCGUAACAAAGUGGUUUUAUCGGAAGAUGAAGCUAGAAUGCA